CAAUAUAUAAAUAUAUGAUUUCCUUUUAAGUAGAAUUUUGAAUAAGCUAUGGUAAUUUUCUUAGUGUCAUUAAUUUAUAUGUAAAUAUUUCACUCUCUUAUAUACAUAUUUGUAAACCUAGAGUCGGUCAAUUAAUAUUUGUCCUAGUAUUUUUAUUGAAUUUUACUUGAAAAAAGAAAAAUUAAACUAACGUAAAAAAAGAUAAACAAACAAAACCUACCAUACUUCCACUCUUUCACGUCCCUCACCCCCACAAUCCCUAACUCUCAACUCCAAAACUCACGUUCGAGGACGAAUGUAUGUUUAAGUGGGAGAUAAUGUAACGACCCGACCGGUCGUUUUGAGCCCUAGCGUGUCGUUCAUCAGUUUGAGGCCAUUGCAGCUUCAUUUCAGGUAUUAUAACUUGUACGCGUGGUCGGAAUUGAAUUUCGGGAAGUUCAGAGUUGAUUUGCAAAGAGAAUUCUCAUUUCGGAAGCUUAAAGUUGAAAGAAUUAGCUAGAAUUGGAUUUUUGAGUGAACGACUUCGGAAUCAGGAUCUGAGGUUCUAGUAGGUUUGUAUGAUGAUUUCGGACUUGGGCGUAUGCCCGGUUCGGGUUUUGGAUAAUCUGGGAACAUUUUGGCGCCUAUUGUAGAAGUUAGCCUUUUGGAAGAAAUUUCAUAAGUUUGGCUAGAAGUGCAUUUCAGUGUUAUUGACGUUCGUUUGGGAUUCCAAGUCUGGGAGUAGCUUCGUAUGGUGAUUCUGGAGUUGGGAGCGCGAUCGGAAGUGAAUUCGGAGGUCCGUAGGUCAUUUGUGAAUCAUUUGGCUAAAGAUAGAAAUUUGAAGGUUUUUGGAAAAGUUUGACCGGAAGUGAACUUUUUGAUAUCGGAGUCUGUAACAUCAAAUAUUACUUGUCUGAAAAAUUUGGAGUCAAUUGGACGUGUUUUGAUAGGUUUAAACAUCGAAAAUAGAAGUUUGAAAUUCUAAUGUUCAUUAAGCUCGGAUUGGAGGUCGAUUUAUGAUUUUAGCGUUGUUUGAUGUGAUUUGAGGCUUCGAGCAAGUUCGUAUUAUGUUCUUAGACUUGUGCGAGUGUUUGGUUUGGAUGCCCGGGGACUCGGGUGUGAUUCGGGAUAACUUCAGAGUGAUUUGCUAAGAAAUGGGACUGCUGGUGCUGGUAUGAUCGCAAUUGCGAUGCCUUGGUCGCAAAUGCGAUCAUCGCAAUUUCGAGGUGCCGUUUGCAUUUGCGAACAUGGGCAGCUAGCGGAUUCUUCGCAUUUGCGACAAUUGGGGUCGUUUUUGCGAGGCCUGAAGGGUUCGCAUUUGCGAAAUCCUUAUCACAUUUGCGAAAUAGGCCAAAUCAGUCAGGGGUCACAUUUGUGAUGGAGUCUUCGCAUUUGCGAUCUUCUUGUCGCA
rnacentral:lncRNA from 1 species